GCCGCCGCCGGCUUAGCCAGUCAAGUCGGCAAGCACCAAUAACAACAGCGCGCGUGCGGAACGCCGGCCCUUGACGCGCGCGCCCGCGCGCGCCCCAGUAUCCCACAUUCAGCGCGCGCCCGCCCUCCCUUUCUUCCUGGCCAGCAAACAAACGGGCGAGGGCACGCGCGAUGAAAAGGAACCGUCACGUAAGACAGCAGAGGAGAGCACGUGUCACCACACAACCCUCCCUUCUGGGGUUUGAGGGUUGGUGUUUUUUUUGUGGGCGGGGCUCCAGCUCGCUGGAACAAACGGAUAAUGAAGUCUCCAGCACAUGGUGGCUCCGCCCCAUUCCGCCUCGUCCUGCUUGAAAUUCGUCACGUGAGGAAGGAAGGUGCCGCGAGGACAUAGAAAACGAUUUAAAAAAAAAUAAAAACCAGGUUCUGUCACAGCGUCGCUCCCUCCCUCCCUCCUCCUUAUGCAACCGCGCGUUGACGGGCAGAAGGGAGCGCCGCACGGAAACAUCGCUCUUGACUUUGUUUCUCCGGUUUCGAGAGGCUGAAAGAGCUCUGACAGCAAUAGCUGAGCGAGCAUCACCGUGUCUCCCGCCUCGGAUACUUUUCUCUCAGAACUGAGCCGAAAGACAGCCCCUCACUGGGUUGUCACGUCAGUUGUUGUUUUUUACCCACUACAUUAUUUUUUGGUCCGUCCGUUCACUUUCGGUGCCCCUAAAAUAAGCCGUUACACAAUUUGGAUGGGGUUUCCCCGUCUCGUCAAUAUUUUUAAGGCAUUCUGGAAAUGCUGCUUAUGUUUGAGCGCCUCGAUGUUAAAUUUGCCCUUGCAGUUUUAUGCGGCGAUCUCUUGCCAAGCUGAAGGGAUUCAGCACCCCAAGUGCAGUAGAUGGGAAUGUGAAAGCAGAUAAUUAAAUAAAUGAUAUUAAUUUUGAAUGUACUUUAAACAAUGUUGGGAAUUUAAAAUGUUAAUGAUUGGGGAAGGGGGAUUCGUGAGAUAUUUUCUGGGAAGAAAAAAUAGGGUAAAUAACUGGAAAAACUAAAAAAAGGUGAAAUACAGGGUGUACAGUGAUGUUAAUUAACUAUAUGUAAAAUUGAAUAAGAAAUGAUAAAGAACUAUGUAAAGAAUAAUACCAUGGAAGCUGCAAUUGCAAAGCUAUGGUUAAAAAUGAUUAAUUUGUAAAGAUGAAUUAAUAGUAAUUGAAGAAAAGAAGAAAAGAGUGUUUAGUAAUGAUAUAUAAGCUUAAAUGAAUUAAUGGAAAAACAUAAAGGAUUAUAUAAAAGA